rnacentral:rRNA from 1 species
AGUGAACGCUGGCGGUAGGCCUAACACAUGCAAGUCGAACGGCAGCACAGUAAGAGCUUGCUCUUACGGGUGGCGAGUGGCGGACGGGUGAGGAAUACAUCGGAAUCUACUUUUUCGUGGGGGAUAACGUAGGGAAACUUACGCUAAUACCGCAUACGACCUACGGGUGAAAGCAGGGGAUCUUCGGACCUUGCGCGAUUGAAUGAGCCGAUGUCGGAUUAGCUAGUUGGCGGGGUAAAGGCCCACCAAGGCGACGAUCCGUAGCUGGUCUGAGAGGAUGAUCAGCCACACUGGAACUGAGACACGGUCCAGACUCCUACGGGAGGCAGCAGUGGGGAAUAUUGGACAAUGGGCGCAAGCCUGAUCCAGCCAUACCGCGUGGGUGAAGAAGGCCUUCGGGUUGUAAAGCCCUUUUGUUGGGAAAGAAAAGCAGCAGGUUAAUACCGCGCUGUUCUGACGGUACCCAAAGAAUAAGCACCGGCUAACUUCGUG